AUGAAAGUAAAGAAGGAACAGUUCUGCUUCUGUGAGCCAGGUGGAGAAGAGACGGUAGGACCAGAGAAGUAGUGUUGGAAGUGAGCAUUUCUAGGUGCAGACGAGGCAUUUGGGGCAUAGAAGAUCACACUCUUCUUCCGCCAUGUCUUAAGGUAAGGAGACUGAGAUGAAGACAGGAGAUAUACGUCAAAUAUCAUACAACUUGUUAAAGGAAGAACUCAAACUAGAAUCUAGGUCUCCUGAUCAAUAUCCUGCUACUAUUUGAACUCUGUCAUGGUGACUUUACUAUAUCAUUACCUGCCAGAAGCAUCUAUUUUUGGCUAUUGAAUGUUACUCCUCAGAACUUUAACAAAUUCUACAACACACCAAAGAAAAAUGGAAUCAAACUCAUGCUGAAACCUGCUUCCCCACAUCCUGGAUUGAUGUACACCUACUCUUUGUCUCGUAUUGUUUUCAAAGCCAGCUGCCUUCAUUGAUACUGUUUAUGAAAUGUAUCUCCAUAGAUUUCAACACAAAUUUAUUGGCAAAUUCUAUUUAUCUUCAUUUUUUUUUCUUUAACAAGUAUCUGUUAAAUAGUUAGAAUAAACCAAACCCUAUGCUAAGUCAUGGGAAAUAAAAAUACAUCAAAAUGCAGUCUGAGACCUCAAAGAGCUUUAUAAUGAAAAGUAGUGGUUUCCAACCUGUGUAUAUUACAGACCUCCAAGGAUGAUAGAAAUGAGAGUUGCAUUUUCUGUAGAUUGACUCAUGCUUCACAAAUUACCUACAUAAUUACUUUUCAAAAAGGUGUGUAGAUACUUUUA
rnacentral:lncRNA from 1 species